UCGCCUCCACCGUUUGUUUCUUCAUUCGUCACUUUCCAUAAAUUUACGGGUCCGGUAAUUCUGCCGGAAUCUCCAACCAGCCCCUCAACAAAUCAAUAAAUCCCCUAACUCUCCCCCCCGGCCCUUUCCGCCUCGUCUUGGCUUUCUUCUUCUUCUUCUUCUUCUUCCCCGUCGUCGUGUUCUUUUCUUCUUCAACUUCUCGAGAACUGGAGACUGAAAUAUCGGAUCGUAUGGCCGGUAGGAAGCCUGGUGUAAUUGCUCUGUUUGAUGUCGAUGGCACUCUUACAGCUCCGAGAAGGGUAGCUACUCCGGAGAUGUUAGAGUUCAUGCAGGAGCUUCGAAAGGUGGCUACAGUAGGAGUUGUUGGGGGAUCUGACCUUAGCAUGAUCACAGAGCAGCUUGGGAAGACAGUUAUCAAUGACUAUGACUAUGUAUUCUCCGAGAAUGGCCUUGUAGCACAUAAAGAUGGGAAACUGAUUGGCACUGAGAGCUUGAAGUCUCUUCUCGGAGAAGCAAAACUAAAGGAAUUUAUUAAUUUUACCCUGCAUUAUAUUGCGGAUUUGGAUAUCCCAAUAAAAAGGGGAACAUUCAUAGAGUUCCGAAGUGGAAUGCUAAAUGUAUCCCCGAUUGGACAAAACUGCAGUCAGGAAGAAAGGGAUGAAUUUGAAAAGUAUGACAAGGUUCACAACAUUCGCUCGAGGAUGGUAUCUAUCCUGCGGGAUAAGUUUGCUCACCUAGAUCUAACGUUCUCCAUAGGAGGGCAAAUAAGUUUUGAUGUUUUCCCGAAUGGAUGGGAUAAGACGUACUGCUUGAGAUACCUCGAGGAUUUCCAUGAAAUCCACUUUUUCGGUGACAAAACUUACGAGGUCUGCCUUUUGUGCUUGGCCAUACUAUAGCUCCACUGGAGGAAACGACCAUGAAAUCUACGAAUCCGAACGCACAGUGGGUCACACAGUUACCAGCCCUGAAGAUACAAUGGUGCAGUGCAAGGCCCUAUUCCUGGAAAACAAGUGAAAAUUAUGCAUCUUUUUCAACACACACACACACACAUUCACGUAUUUAUGUAAAUUCUUCCAUUUUCAUGUGAUUUGUAGUUCACAACGGUUGAUGAGCCAAAUAGCUUUAAAAUUCGAAACAGAAUCUUAAAUUCUAAAUUGUAUAACUUUAACGACAGAUUGUCAUGUUAAGAACCCGUUAUCCGAUGGUUGAGAUUGCGUUGUA